rnacentral:rRNA from 1 species
UGCUCCCUGAUGUUAGCGGCGGACGGGUGAGUAACACGUGGGUAACCUGCCUGUAAGACUGGGAUAACUCCGGGAAACCGGGGCUAAUACCGGAUGGUUGUUUGAACCGCAUGGUUCAGACAUAAAAGGUGGCUUCGGCUACCACUUACAGAUGGACCCGCGGCGCAUUAGCUAGUUGGUGAGGUAACGGCUCACCAAGGCGACGAUGCGUAGCCGACCUGAGAGGGUGAUCGGCCACACUGGGACUGAGACACGGCCCAGACUCCUACGGGAGGCAGCAGUAGGGAAUCUUCCGCAAUGGACGAAAGUCUGACGGAGCAACGCCGCGUGAGUGAUGAAGGUUUUCGGAUCGUAAAGCUCUGUUGUUAGGGAAGAACAAGUGCCGUUCAAAUAGGGCGGCACCUUGACGGUACCUAACCAGAAAGCCACGGCUAACUACGUGCCAGCAGCCGCGGUAAUACGUAGGUGGCAAGCGUUGUCCGGAAUUAUUGGGCGUAAAGGGCUCGCAGGCGGUUUCUUAAGUCUGAUGUGAAAGCCCCCGGCUCAACCGGGGAGGGUCAUUGGAAACUGGGGAACUUGAGUGCAGAAGAGGAGAGUGGAAUUCCACGUGUAGCGGUGAAAUGCGUAGAGAUGUGGAGGAACACCAGUGGCGAAGGCGACUCUCUGGUCUGUAACUGACGCUGAGGAGCGAAAGCGUGGGGAGCGAACAGGAUUAGAUACCCUGGUAGUCCACGCCGUAAACGAUGAGUGCUAAGUGUUAGGGGGUUUCCGCCCCUUAGUGCUGCAGCUAACGCAUUAAGCACU